CAUUCACACCUGUUCUUCAGACAGGACAGCGUCAAUUAAAACACACUGACACAGACUCAAAGUAAAAACCAUGAAGGUUCUUGUGGUGUUCGCACUUGCUGUAUUUACAGGUUGCCAGGCCAACCUCUUCUAUUCUGAUGAGCCCAAGCCACAGCUGGAGCAGCUGACCGAUGCUUUCUGGAGCUAUGU